GACGUAGGGCGCGAGCGUUGUCCGGAUUUAUUGGGCGUAAAGAGCUCGUAGGCGGCUUGUUGCGUCGACCGUGAAAACCCGGGGCUCAACUUCGGGCUUGCGGUCGAUACGGGCGGGCUAGAGUUCGGUAGGGGAGACUGGAAUUCCUGGUGUAGCGGUGGAAUGCGCAGAUAUCAGGAGGAACACCGGUGGCGAAGGCGGGUCUCUGGGCCGUAACUGACGCUGAGGAGCGAAAGCGUGGGGAGCGAACAGG
rnacentral:rRNA from 1 species